UCGUAGUUGACAAGAUGUUCUUUUGGGAG
rnacentral:piRNA from 1 species